rnacentral:lncRNA from 1 species
AAAUACAAUACAAGGAAGUGGAUAUAAGAUAAAUUUUGAGCUCAUAAAAGGAGAAAAUAAUGGAAUAGCUGAUAUGCUAUCCCGAAAUAUUAACAAAUUAUUUUUUGCAGAUGGAUAGUCGAAACAAAGGAAAGAGCAAAUUAAUACAGCCUACACAACAAAAAAGGAGUUCCUCUUCUAUGAGCAUUUCCUCAGAAGAAGAUAGANCAACAAAAAAAGUUCCUCUUCUAUGAGCAUUUCCUCAGAAGAAGAUAGAAACACAACAUCAACAGAAAAAUUAUUGGAUUCAGCAAUAAAAACAGAAUAUCUGUAUAAACCCACACAACAGAACUCGAUUCCUUAUAUGGAAAUAGCAAGUAUUACACAUAAUAAUAACCUUUUCCAAGGAUCUAAACCACAAUCUCAAAACAUUCAACAUUCACAUUAUUGAACAGGACCUUCAAAAAAUACACAAUAUACACAGAACAGAAAAGCCGUUAUUGCAUUUGGUAACUGCACUUUACCAAUUUGCUUUGAUGAACGUAAAAAGUUUAGGCCCAUGGUCGGGGUAAACUUGACAGAAGACCAACAAUGUUUGCCAGACAACUUAUGGCAUAUUCAGACAGUUCCACAGGCUUCAUCAUUUAAAGUUC